GUGUUCACUUUGGCAACACAUAUAUUAAAAAAUUUGAAUGAUACAGAGAAAAUAAGCAUGGCCCCUGACCAAGAAAGACACACACAUUCAUGAAGCGUUCCAUAUUUUU